CAACGUGAGCCUCGGAGAACUACUCGUAUCUAAGCGUCAUCAAGUGAUCAGUUGUUAUUUUUGUGGCCAAUGCUUGAAAUUAUAACUUGAAUAACAAUUACCAUGCGUUGUCAGGAACUGCUUUAAAAAUAAAUAAGACUCGGAAAAGCCUUUCUGCCCAUCGCGCCGAUAAAUUAUGUACUUAGUUUACUUGAAUUCGCUCAGUUUCGUAAUAGUGAAACCGGCUUGAUUCUACACUCAUCUAACCUGCAUUUAUAACCUAACUAGAUCUUGCUUAAAGAAGAACAUAAGUACUGUAAAGUAUGCAGGGACAUAACGUGCGCCAAAUGCAGUACUAAUAGCGACAAGUACGAAAAGAAAGCCGAUUAGAAAUCAUGAACAAAGAUGGUGGCAAGCGAUGAUACUAUUUCAAUACAAUUAUCAGAGAAAAACACAUCCCGUGUUUAUUUCUUCUAAUAUUCUUUUUUGACCUCCCGGGAUUCGGGAGACCAACGAUCCCAAACGGUCCUCAGCUUUAAAUUGCUCGCCAUAACAAUCCAUCUGAGUAAACGUCAAUAGGGAUCUCGUUCUUGGCGACCCGCAAAUCGAAACAGGAGGAAAUGGCCCUGUUCGACCUUGUUGCGUCCGAUCUAUAGCGAUUGCAGGAGCCGAGGAUGCAGAAUAAGCCUAAUACAAACGUAACCCGUGAGCGCAGCGUAAGCGGAGUUCAGUAUGUCUUUUAGCCUCGCAAUGGUCAACAAGCUGCUCGUCCCGUGUGAACUUCGUCACUAAGCUGAAAGUAUUCCGAAGUAGAACGAAAAUAUUUGGUUAGACUAGAAAUUCUGUAAUGAAUAGAAAAAUGAAUAGAUCAAAGCCCGUAUGCUGCUUGAGAAUUUUACAUUGUAUUGCAUACUAUACAUUAUUUUAGACAAGAACGUUCCCGUUCAAAUUGUCAAAGCUCUGUACGGCCCUGUAUUGUUGAAUCAUCUCUUUGAUUAUAGGUUUCCUAUAUAGCACUUCAUUUGCUUUGUUAUGGUUUAGCCGAAGUAAAUUGGGUCCGUAGAAUCAACUGAUGCAUCUGCAGAAUUACCAAAUACUGUUCUAUGCGGGGCUGUAUGCAAAACGGAGCUUGACCUUAAAUCUACGCAAUUCUUUUGCCAUGAGCUGUCAAAUGAAACUUUUCGUGCCAAAGUAAAAAUAAUUUUUUGAAAAAACCCAUAGUAAGGUAUAUGACAGGACCAAUUUCGUAUCGAAGGGCCAUCGAAGAUAGUGUCAUACAGGUCGCUAGUGAUUGCUGCUAAUGACGAUGCAAUAACAGUGUGUAUGGCUACUAAAUCGAGACGCACAUGAUGUAGUACGGCUUUGGAACCUAACACGGACAGAAAGGAAUCAGCGAUAUGAAGCGACGGCAGUAUCGGACGCAAAAUUCGAAACCUUGUGUUUAGGCCCCUUAAAUUUAGAGACAUGACCCAGCACAAGUAUUAGUCACGCAACGGAACUGAAACGAAGAGGAAAUCCGCUUCAAGGUAAGCCUCGGUGACAUUGUGUGCUCACAGAAUUUGUGCGUUAGCCAGCCACUCAGCGAGCGCCCAUACGGGAAGCGUACACAACGUGAGCGUCUUCACAUUGACCAAGCUACUGACUCCAGAGCGAUGUUUUGGCGUCAAAUGAUUCACUAGAUUUUCGUUUCGCGGCCAGAUUUUUAGAAUUUUUUAAGGCUGUCGACAAACGACUGGACUCGGAACUGUCGCUACCGCUGUGGCUUCAAGUGCGCAAAGGACGGUUCGUACCUGGAUGGAUAUCCGCCUCCAGCGCUUCCUGUCGACGUUUCCAUCGUUUAAUAUUUCGAGUUUCCAUUGAAAGGAGCCCCUGUCUAUCUGCAACACGGGUUUCCCACCUUCCAUGAGUCGUCCUUUCGUAUGGGUGCAUUUACUUUUAGAAAUACCUAACGUCAGCUUACCCCGUGCCGGACGAAGAGAAGCAAAUAGUGAAGGAAUGCUGGCCGUCGCAUGGCUUCUGUGACGACCAAUUCUUUUUCAACCCGGCUCGCUACUCACUAGCGUGGUUCACUUGCUUUAGCAGACCAUUAUGUCGCUACGCUGACUCAACUACGAAAGCACGAUGGGUGUGUGUGGCACGGAUGCUCUGGAAGGGGUAAACUGGGCCAGCGGGAAGUGGGGCUGCGAUGGACGAAAGACCACUUGGAAGCGUAUCGAAAAAGGCGUUGGUCAGCUGACACCAAUUUAGCUCACUCUGACAAUUCGUCUCCUUUACAUGUAAAAAAAAAUGCAGAACUUUUCGGUUGACGCUAAAGACAAUGUAGGUAACAUCGUUAGUCGGUGCGUGAAUUUCUCAUUCAGUGGGGCUAAUUUCCGGACGGAGCGAGGUCGCUACAAAGAAUAGAUCCGUUCAUUUAACUGCCCAUUUAUGUCAUGUUGCUGAUUCAACUCAGUUGCAUUUAUCGUCUAUUCUGUUCAGUAAAAUGCAUAGUGCAACUGGCUUGAUAUGUGUUCUUUAAAUGAACAAUGGGAUGAAUAUCGAUAACAGAGUGUAAGGAGACCACGAAUUGUUUUAUUUGUACUGUUACAUACAAUUACCAUAUUUUAAUGGAGGUAUUGAUGCUUAGAGACUGCAAACAUAAUUCGAAAAAUAUAGUAUAACAGAGAUCAAACUUUUGACAAUACCAUUGAUGACCGGUUGUGUCUUCAACCACCCGUCCACGAUUGCAUUCCUACGAAGUUUACGAGGACACAUCCGUAUAGUCUGGCACCGAUGAACUAUACAUGCGACGUAUUUUCAGUUCCUAACUAGCACACGAAUAUCAGGAAUAUGCAUACAAUGUAUAAUACAGUCAUUGAUAGGCUUUAAAUAACCUCGUGAACCAUCGAUCGGUCUCACAGGAUGUUACCACCGCCAGUCAAGCUCGUAGAACCGUACCGUGUGUGGUACGGAAAAACAUAUCAAGUGUAGUAUGCGACUUGUAUGUACUUCAAAGGUUUCAAAAGCUGAUAUUUGACAAAAAUAAAUAGAUGAGUGUAACUGAUC